UACGUAGGGUGCAAGCGUUAAUCGGAAUUACUGGGCGUAAAGCGUGCGCAGGCGGUUGUGCAAGACCGCUGUGAAAUCCCCGGGCUUAACCUGGGAAUGGCAUUGGUGACUGCACGGCUAGAGUGUGUCAGAGGGGGGUAGAAUUCCACGUGUAGCAGUGAAAUGCGUAGAUAUGUGGAGGAACACCGAUGGCGAAGGCAGCCCCCUGGGAUAACACUGACGCUCAUGCACGAAAGCGUGGGGAGCAAACAGG
rnacentral:rRNA from 1 species